ACGGCCCAGACUCCUACGGGAGGCAGCAGUGGGGAAUAUUGCACAAUGGGCGAAAGCCUGAUGCAGCGACGCCGCGUGAGGGAUGACGGCCUUCGGGUUGUAAACCUCUUUCAGCAGGGAAGAAGCGAAAGUGACGGUACCUGCAGAAGAAGCACCGGCUAACUACGUGCCAGCAGCCGCGGUAAUACGUAGGGUGCGAGCGUUGUCCGGAAUUAUUGGGCGUAAAGAGCUCGUAGGCGGUCUGUCGCGUCGGAUGUGAAAGCCCGGGGCUUAACUCCGGGUCUGCAUUCGAUACGGGCAGACUAGAGUGUGGUAGGGGAGAUCGGAAUUCCUGGUGUAGCGGUGAAAUGCGCAGAUAUCAGGAGGAACACCGGUGGYGAAGGYGGAUCUCUGGGCCAUUACUGACGCUGAGGAGCGAAAGCGUGGGGAGCGAACAGGAUUAGAUACCCUGGUAGUCCACGCCGUAAACGUUGGGAACUAGGUGUUGGCGACAUUCCACGUCGUCGGUGCCGCAGCUAACGCAUUAAGUUCCCCGCCUGGGGAGUACGGCCGCAAGGCUAAAACUCAAAGGAAUUGA
rnacentral:rRNA from 1 species